rnacentral:rRNA from 1 species
CCUACGGGGAGCUGCAGUGGGGGAUAUUGCACAAUGGGGGAAACCCUGAUGCAGCGACGCCGCGUGUGGGAAGACGGUCCUCUGGAUUGUAAACCACUGUCCCCAGGGACGAAGAUGACGGUACCUGGGGAGGAAGCUCCGGCUAACUCCGUGCCAGCAGCCGCGGUAAUACGGAGGAUGCGAGCGUUAUCCGGAUUUAUUGGGUUUAAAGGGUGCGCAGGCGGCCUGUUAAGUCAGCGGUAAAAGCCCGGGGCUCAACCCCGGCGAGCCGUUGAAACUGGCGGGCUGGAGUUGGAGAGAAGUACGCGGAAUGCGCGGUGUAGCGGUGAAAUGCUUAGAUAUCGCGCAGAACCCCGAUUGCGAAGGCAGCGUACCGGCUCCACACUGACGCUGAGGCACGAAAGCGUGGGUAUCGAACAGGAUUAGAUACCCCGGUAGUC